UCAUUAUUGAAAAUACAAAAACGGAAAUACAAACCGACAAAACCAUAUAGAGACCAGCACAAUGAAAGUCGGGCUAAUAUUACUUCCCUGUGGAUACUUUGUCUCAUAAUGAAAACAUCAGCGGACAACAGCUCAAGGGCACCCAAAAAUGUUGAGGAUCAGUGGCAAAUUGAGCAUUUCUUUACCAGUCCAACAUCCUCCCCAUGCGAGACAUCCAGCAUGUGCAGUUCGAACAUUAUUUUCUAUUACUGAAAAUAUGGCGGUCAUAGCGCACAUGAUGCACUGAAAUGAAGAGAGAGGGGACAAGACAGAGAAGAGAGGAUUGGAGUUAAGUGACGAGAAAAAGAGGGAUACUGGAAAGAGGACUGCAAUGUAUGAGCUGAGAGAUAAAGAGUGAGAGUUAGAUAAAGAAAGGUAGGUACAACUGGAGAGGAGCAGAGUUAAUUUGAGAGAGCUGAAGGGAUACAGGGAUACGGACUCCCUCUGGCUCUGACGUAGUCAUCCCAUGCAGCAUACCAUCCCAUGUAGCUCCACCACUCCACUCUGUCCUGCUGAAUAAUGGAGGCUACUCUAGGUGUGUGUCUGGCAAAGUAUUGUGCUCCCAGGUACUGUCCAGGAGAUUCGUGUUGUUUAUGGUGCCAUAAAACUAAGAUGCUUAGCUGCAAACAUUGAGAGUAGAUACUGGGAAAGGAACAAUUGCUCUUGAAACAAUUGAGAUGUUAAUUUUUUUCAUUAGCUUUGUGAGAUUCUCAAGGUAUUAGUUAUCUCAGUCCAGUGAAAAUGGGUUUGAUGUUUUUAUGGGUUUGAUGUUACCAGUAUUUUCCUCACUUGUUGCUUGGCAACACUAUGGGCCAACAUGGUGUAAUUGGGUGUUUUAGAAAUGAACACAAUAGAUCAACUGAGAGCGGAAUGGAGAGACCCCUUAAAUGGCAGAUUAUGUUGUUUAGAAAGAGAGAGAGAGACAGCCAUAAUAUGACAUUUUAAAUAUCUCUAUUCCUUUGAAAUGUUUGUGAGUGUAAUGUUUACUGUUC